AAAAAGCAAAAAGGAAAGAAAACCACAACUGAAAAGCAGGAAAUUUGAAAGAAUGCCGAUAUACGUGAUCAAAUAACAACCCUUCUCUUUUUCAGUUUCAUAAGUGUUUUGACAUCAAGACCUAUGAGAAGAUUCCUGUGCCCAUUCCCUACAAUAAAUGCUGUCGGUACGAGUUUCAGUUCAACACGACUACAGAUCGGCACUGCACAGAAGUAUCCAGUAAAACCAGUGACGUUAUAACUCAUGGUACCACAACGCCUUGCCUCGAUACGGCGAAUGUGGCGGCCAUCGUCAUCCCGAUCAUUGUGUGCAUCUGUGUCGCACUAUCCUUCUACUGCUUCAAGAAGCAUGAACAUAUUUUUGGCAGCACCAAGCUGGACCACUCUGUAAUAAAGGAAAUGUUCAACUUCAACAAGUUGCCAAGGACGAAAUUGUAUGUACCAAUGGAGAUAAUUGAUCCUCCCGCUGUUCCAUCAGCUGACCACGAAAAGGAUGAUCAUCAGCAAAGUAGCAGACCGCACAUUUUGCAAGGCAACAGGACUGAAGCUGUGUGAACCUGACACAAAGAGAAACUUGAGCAGCUUUCAUCGCACCGACGUCCUCUGGAGUUGCUGUGAGGGGGGGGGGGGGGGGGACCUUGCCCAUGCAUGCUGAGAAAUAUCGCCACCACAUGUCAUUGAAAAUGGCUUCCUCCUGUGACUAUAGCACUUAAACUCUAUGUACUUUGCCCUUAAAAUGGGAAACCUGCCAAGUUUGAUUGAAAGCUCAAAAUUACAGCUUGAAAAGCAAAAACUGUGGAACUUUGGAAGUUCAUCCUGGCUUUGAGCAACUUUUUUCUUUACCAACCGCUACUCCUAAACAGGAAUCCUUCUUAUAAAGACCCCUCAGAAUAUUUUUUCAGGCCUCUGAGAGGCCAUUUUAAAGCCUCUCUUUGGGCGACUCCUGGUUUUUGUCGUCCUCUCUGAACCUGUAUUAUAUUUAAAAAAAAGCUUUAUUUGCCAGUCCUGGCUGGAGGCCAGUCUGUAGGCUGGUGAACACGGCAGUUCUGAGCCGGCCCUGAGAGCGCCUCCGCCUGCAUCGGUGUUAUGCUUUCACGUGAUGGAGGCGGAGGGCGUCCGGAGUCGUUCCUCCGCUGUUACAUCUGCGCGCCACAAGCGGAGCUGCACACUAACCGGCUGGCCUUUGCAGCUUGUUGACGAACUGAGGUGAAGGGGUUCAUGACGGACCACGUUCUGUUGUGUCCAGGUAUUCGCUCACUGCACUGAGUGUCUCAGGGGUUAUUACCAUGCAUUCAACUGCUUUUCAGCUGCUACUUCUUAUUGACAUUUUUUCUAUAUAUAAAACACUGUUUGCUUUAGUUUCCCACUGAGACCAGCCCAAAAUAUCCCCUGUUUUCACACAUGACUGUGGAUUGUACCUAGUUUAACCUUCUGUUUACAGAUUGACUACAGUUUGAAAAAAAAAAAAAACCCUGCCAUAACAUAAUAGAACCAACUUUGCGCCUAUAGUAAAGAAGCUGUUUUUUGUUUUCCCUCCUUCACUCUACUCAAGAGCUGCUACUCGGCAGAAAUCUUUUUCCAGAGACUAUUUAAUAAGACACCUGAAGGAUGAUGCAUUACCACUUUAAAAUCUGAACUGGACGGUUUAGAUCUUUGGAAGCGAGAUGUCCCCGCGGAGCUUUCGGUCGCCCCCCGCGGCGUUGCAGACUCAUGCUGAUCAAGACGAGGAAGAACACUGUGUGGAAACUGCCUUUGAAACAGGCUGUCCAGUCACGGGGUGAGCAGUGCAUGGAGAAUAAAUAAGAGAGCUCUCUGCUCAUAAUCUCCGACCCAGGAGACGAGGGAAGGACAGGGCUAGUUGUUGUAUUUUACAAGCAGGAGCUUUUGCAUAGCACAUGUGAAAUAUGCCUGGAUGCCAGAUUAGCAGGCCUGUGAUAACCUGGAUGGUGUCGAAUGGAAGAAUGAUCUUCAGCUUUGUGCAAGAAGCUCUUACUUGCUGCUGUGUCCCAGCUGUUUUUGGCCUCCACUCCAGGCUUAAUGGCUGAAGGAAGCUGAUAGUGUCUCUGGGUCGGCGCUCCUUUUCUUUGAUGAAAUGCUAGAUAUAUACGAGAGAAGCUCAAAACACAACUUUAUUUCCUCUUUGAAGCCACUGCAACCUCCACAAACUCCGUUCGUUGACUCCGGCCCCGUCAAUUUUCCGGUAUAUUUCAGAUGCAAAUAAGGUUUUUUAAGGUUUACUCGACGCCUUUACUGUCAUUUUAAAACGCAUUUCCACCUGCCAUACUCAGGUUUUAAACGUUCUGAAAGGAGCACCGGGAUAAAUAUUGUAAAUAUCUGAGAAAAUAUUAAACUGAGGAUACGCUCGGAACAUGUGUUCAAUUUA